rnacentral:lncRNA from 1 species
GGCCUCUGACAAAGAAAUGAAGGAAGCUCAUGACCAGUCUUGUAUUGCCAGCAAGGAGGGCAUGAAGAAAGUGUCACGGAACAUUUGCCUUUGUGUUGCAAUGGUUGUUGUUGGCAACAUCCCAGUGUUGUACCCACAUUUCAUCUGUUUCAGCUCGUAUUGGGAGAUCAGAGAAGAGCUACAAGGAAUGACAGGAAAGAUAAUAAUGAACCCAAGAAGCAUAGAAGGAGAGUGUUGGCAAGAGGAAAGGGAAUGGCUGCAGGAGAACAGAGGCCCCAGCCAUGAACUUGGAAGGGUAA